rnacentral:lncRNA from 1 species
UUAAUCUAAAACUAUUUGCCUAUUUGUUGGAAAAUAUUAGUAUUUAGGUUUACUUUAAUGUUUGGUUUUCUGGGCUUAGCCCGUUAGCAUUAGGGUUUAGGGUUAGUUUAUUAUAAAUAGAGUGUUUUGUUAUUCAUUAGAAAUCAAGUCAUUCACAAUGUAGUCUCUUAGGGUUUUGUAGCCGUUUCGGCAUUCUCGUUUGAUAUCAAUAAUAUUUCUUUUACUUUGUUAGUAUUGUUUGUUACGCACUCUGAUAUUCAACUUGGUAUCAGAGCAGGUUUGAUCCUUUGGGAUUUAAUCUGUUCUUGAUUAGUGUCAAUUUGUUUGUAUCAGUUUUGUUUGUCAGUUUACUGGGUAUUAGUUUCGUCCGUCGUCUUCCGCUCAUCCGUAGUCGAAGCCGUUCUUGUCACCACCACCGCACUGCAAUAUGUCCAGAUAACCCGCACCACCAUCUCCGCUGCUACCACCUGUUCACGGUACCCGCACCGACUCCUACCAGUCGGAUCUGUCACAACCCAAUGAAGUCCCCUUCUGCAAGUUGACUUUGCACUAGAAGUUUUGAAGCUUGCUGCAAUUGGUUUUGCAAGCCUUGUUUGCUGCAAUCGGUUUCGCCCAGAAGAAAAGAGAAGAAAGAAAGAAAUAUGGUAUAUUUGGUUGAAUUUUUUGUUUGUUUGUUCGGCAUCAGAAUCGGCAUUGGCAUUAGCACUGGAAUUUGUUGAAUUGCAUCCACCCGCUUCUUCAACGUUUGAAGAAGAUGCCCGCGAGGAUUGGAGUUGGUAGUAUGGAAAUUGCUUACUCGUUUGUUCGUUCGUUUUUGUUUGUUGUUUGCUCGUUGUUCGUUCGUUUGUUUGCUCGCUUGUUCGCUUUGUCUUGUCUUGUCCGCCUAAUGGAGCUUGCAUCCACAUCUGCUUGUUUGCAAACUCAUGUUGUAUACCGCCAUGAGUUUGACGGGGGGUGUUGGAAAAUAUUAGUAUUUAGGUUUACUUUAAUGUUUGGUUUUCUGGGCUUAGCCCGUUAGCAUUAGGGUUUAGGGUUAGUUUAUUAUAAAUAGAGUGUUUUGUUAUUCAUUAGAAAUCAAGUCAUUCACAAUGUAGUCUCUUAGGGUUUUGUAGCCGUUUCGGCAUUCUCGUUUGAUAUCAAUAAUAUUUCUUUUACUUUGUUAGUAUUGUUUGUUACGCACUCUGAUAUUCAACUUAUUUAAUUAUCACGUUGAAAUUUCAUUGUUUCUUAGAGAACAAAGUGUUCUUAAAUUUCUUUAACUCAAUUAAAUGCCUAAAAUAUUUUCGAUUUGACUAAUAUUUUGUAAGGAUGAUCUAUGAAGUGCUUAAAAAAUAGAUAAUUCAGAAUGUUAAAGUUCAAUGUGGUGUGCGCCUAACAACUAAUCCCAAUAUAUAUAUUAGGCCCCUUAACAAGAGGAUCCCCAUUUUUCAAAAAAAAAGAAAAGACAUUCUCUUGACUGUUGAAUUGACUUUAAUGAAAUUGUGUGGUUGAGAUUAAAUCACAGGCCACACAAUCUCAAUCACAUAAUUUCAUUAAAGUCAAAUCUAACAGUCAAGAGAGAGUUUCCAUUUAAUAAAAAGAAAAAUGAAGAUCCUCUUGUUAAAGGAUUCAUAUAUAUAUAUAUAUAUUCCACGACAAGAAAGUACCAAAAGAUUGUGCCACCUUUUUUUUUUAUUUUUUUUGGCAAACAAAGAUUGUGCCACUCUUUUUUUACUGCUUUUAAGCUUAUUUUUCUUAUGCAUAGUUUCGUACACACGGAUUUAUCAAAUGCAAAAGAAAAAUGAUUUUUACACCCACGGUUUGUACACUUCUCUUACACGUAUUAUUCUUUAUUUUUUAUAUUUAAAUAGAAGAAUAAUAAUAAAAUAAUUGCAAUUAAAAAGAAUGUGCACAUAGC